GUGCCAGCAGCCGCGGUAAUACAGAGACUGCAAGCGUUAUUCGGAUUCACUGGGCGUAAAGGGUGCGCAGGCGGUUAUGUGUGUUAGAUGUGAAAGCCCGAGGCUCAACCUCGGAAUUGCGUCUAAAACUACAUGACUAGAGUACCGGAGAGGAUAGCGGAAUUCACGGUGUAGCAGUGAAAUGCGUAGAUAUCGUGAAGAACACCAGCGGCGAAGGCGGCUAUCUGGAAGGUUACUGACGCUCAGGCACGAAAGCGUGGGGAGCAAAAGGGAUUAGAAACCCGCGUAGUCC
rnacentral:rRNA from 1 species